GCCACUCCCGCGAAGGGACUGCCCAACUAGUAACGAAUCAACUGGAUAAUCAAAGCUUUGCCAAAUGAACUUUCCCUUUGUAUCAUACAGCACAAGGUUGCCAUUCUGGAGUAAUUUGAUGCCCGUGACACCCUUGUUAGCCGUGUUGGUUUGCCACACAAGGCCGCCGUCAGAGUCGGCUAGGACCAAGUUUCCAUCCCGGCCGAAAGAAAGGGUGGCGUUUUCUUUCACGGGGUGGUUGCGGUUGGCGUCCCAAACCCAUCGCAUUAGGCCCUCGUCAUCUGGGAUGCCAACACGAAUGCCAAGCACGAAAGAAGUUGGGGUGGUGUUGUAGAAACACAGUCUGAAGGGGAAUGUGUAGAAAUCAUAGACAUCAUUGGUUAUGAUGCGAUAAGUUGCCCCAUACUCAGCUGUGGGUACGAAAUUUUGGAAUUCUCCCAGUGGACCUGUGUUGACAAUUUUGAAGGUAUUGUUUGUUGGCACUUGAGCUCUGGUGCUAAUGGCCAAGAAACAGAGGAGGAGGAGAAUGCUAAGACAGGGUGAAAAUGGAAAGGUACGACGAGCCAUUGGAAUUCUUUUUGUGCAAUAAGGAAUAAAGGGCAAGCUAAUCAGUUGGAAAUGGAAUGAGAGAUAUGAAGUGGGUUGUAACCAUUUGGUAUUUAUAGAUUUUUUUUAUUGGUUUUUCUGCAUACAAUUGUUGAAAUUUGAAAACUGAUCAAAAAAAUAUUGAAAAUUGAAAUUUGAAUUUCAACGUCAAAGUUGGUAACCUGCAAACAAGAUUGAGCAUCCAUCUAGUAACAUAGUAUUACAUAAUUUUGUUCUAUGUCGUUUUGGUUGUCAAAUGAUUAUAAUGUACAACACAAUUUUUUAUAAGGGAAAACGAAACAAAUAAUCCCUUACAUAUUACUUAUUUAAUCAUUCACAUACAUAAAAAUGCAAAUUCAUCCUUUAAAUAUAUAAGGGAUAAUUUUAGAAACCUCCCUGAGGUUUCUAAUAAUUUCACAAAGCUCCCCUUAAUAUUUCAAAAUUACACAUACCUCCCCUAUUGCUGUAAAAGUACUCUACUACCCCUAUAUAGGAUACUUAAUGACUUUUUCUUUUUGGAAAUUUCAGAAAUUUCAAGAAAAACUAAAAUUGACUUGUUUUUUCUCUCUCUCUCUCUCUCUACCUUACUCUUUCUUCCAUUUCCUUUUUUGCUAAAUUCCUACCACUCAUUCCUCUCUACCUAAUAUUCUUCCUCCAAUUCACGACCAAAUUCUAUCUAUUAUCCCUUACCCGUAUUUAUCCCCCUCCUUCCCUUUUUCUUCUUCUUCUUUUAUCUCUAUUCUCAUCUCUUUUUUGCAAAUAUGAUCAAGUUCAUCCUUUUUAUCCUUUUAAUUCUAAGUGUAAUGGGUUUGAUUUUUCUGCGUCUAUUUAUUUUAUCCAAUGUUAGUUGAUUAUGGGUGAUAAAACUUAGUGAUGUCAAAAGUCAAGAAUUUGAGGGAUGGAUGUGCUUUAGAAAUGGGUUGUCGAAAAAAAAAAGAAGGCUGCAAAAAGAGAAAGACGAGAGAUCUGUGCUAUUGAUUGUUGAUGAAGUGUUAGUUUUGGGUAAAAGUUUGAGACUGAGUUUUAUCCAAUUUAGCACCAAGUGACGGAUUUAAUUAACUUGUGUAGUAAAUGUAGCCAUGUAGGGGUUGGGUUAUUGGACAUAAAUUAGGCUAUAGUGUUUUAAGUGCUAGAAUUAUUGAAAUUUAUUUUGAUUUAAAUUGGGGUGUUUGCUUGGCUUUUGGGGUGGAGUUGUUUGGAAUAAGGCAAUCAUCAUAGUUGAAUUUUUCUCCAAACUUUUAUUUUUGGUAGAAAGAGUUUGUUGGCUCUGGUGUUAGAAGAAAAGCAAUCAACAGAGCUCUUUUAUUUUUCCUUUUUAUCUUUUUGACAAAAAGGGUAGUUUAGGAUAUUUGAAGGAAUUGGUAGCCUAUUGGACAUAUUUUGAAGCAUAAAUAGUGAAAGCAAGGUAGGUGUGUGUAAUUUUUGAAACCUAAGGGGAGCUUCUUGUAAUUGUUAGAGACCUCAAGGGAGGUUUAUGAAAUUAUCCCAAUAUAUAAAUUGCAUCAUGUUUGUCUGAAAAUUCAUUUUAGGAAAUUCUUUUUUUACCUGAAAACGCCAUGUGGCUACCAAAUGAAAUAUUUCAAAGAUAAAAAAGACAUUACAUACUCAUGAUUUAUCCAUUUUUUUUUGCCUUUUUUCCUCCUCUGUUUUUGCUUCACCAACAUUCAAACAGCAAAUCCUAGAUCCACCACCAUAGUCCGCAAUUUCCAGAUAACAAACACUAUCAAAUAUUGUUUAAUAUCCAGAAAUUGUAAAUUACGGAGAUUUUGCUACAAAAGCCUCAUUGCUGCCGCUAUAACAAGACAAACGCCGCUAUAGUUUGAUAAGCAUACAGAAUAGAGGAUUUGUAUGCUAAUUAAUUUUCUUUUUGUUUUCUGAAAAAGGAAUAAUAUUAAUCAUUCGAUCAUGCAAUUCUAAUAGUGCUUAAAUAAUUAGAUUAGAUUGUGGUGCGAUUGGUAUAUGUCAGGAAUGAAUUUGCAUCAUUUUGAUAAUGAGCGAUUAAAUAACUACAAAUGCGACUACUUGUAUUUUUUUUUUUUACAAUAUCGCAACACAUCAUCUGUCCCGCUUUUUAUUUCACUCCAUAUCUCAGCUUUUAUUAUAGUGUCAUUUUUCUUUCACAAACAUCUUAUUCUACUUCUUUUUUAUUUCCUUAAGUUCCAAUAACUACUAACAUAUUGUAAAACACAAAUUUAAUCAUACAAAAAAAAAACAAAAUAUCACUAAAAAAAUGAGAUUUUUAUGAUUUUUUUUGUUGUACUUUUUGUUUUUCUAUUAAGGAAAAUGAUCGGUUUCAUUCUUCACAUUUCACAAAAAUAUUCUUUUCAUCCCUCACUUAAAAACCGAAGCAAUAUCGCCCUUGACAUUUAAAAACUGAAGUUCUUACAUCCCUGAACCCAAAUUUCAAUGUGAAUCAAACUACCAAUCAACUUGAUUACAAAUUUUGGGGAUGUAAUUGGUAGAUCACUUGGUUAACUCACCUUGAUAUUCAUGUAAAAUUUAACGAACCCAAAAAUAAAAAAUAAAAAAUUAUAACAUAAAAAAGAAAUAUUAAUCUUUCCUACAUUAUCAUUAUAUACACUGACGGUGACGGUUUUAUGUACCGCCAUAUCAUUUCAAUUUAAAUUUAAACACCAAAUUUUAUAUUUAUGAUACGCAUCUAGAUUCGCAAGCGGAUAUACAAACGGUGUAUGAAAAGAUUUAUCCAAAAAAAAAACUCUACUAUUCCAAGACAAAGAAUGGCCUUUUAUGUUAUAAUUUUUAUUUUUUUUUUGGUUUAAUAAAUGUCAUGUGAAUAUGAUGAAAUUGACUGGGUGAUUUAUCAAUUCUAUUUCCAAAAUUUAUUACUAGGUUAUUGAAUGGUUUGAUUCAGAUUCAAAAUUAGGUUCAGGGAUGUAAUAGUUUUAAUUUUUAAAUGUCAGGGACGAAUUUGCUUCAUUUUAAAAGUAAAGGACGAAAAGAAUAUUUUUGCGAAAUGUGAAGGAUGAAAUAGGUCAUUUUUCCUUUCUAUUGUAUUAUACUUUUUAAUAUGUUGAAUUUUGUGUUUUACCCUUUAGUAGUCAUUGAAACUUUAGGAAAUAAAAUAAAAUAUUUGUAAAGGAGGAAUGACAAAAUAAUUAAAGAUGUGACAUACGAUAAAAGAGGUAGGAUACAGUGGGUCAUAAUAUGCAAAAAAUGGCAAGUAUUAAGCUACUAAAAAUAAAUGGUAGAAAGAAAGUCCACUUUUGGAAGUUUGAAGUCAAUAUAGCAGCUGAGUCAAAAAAAAAAAAGUCAAUAUAGCAGCCUGUAGAUGUGCUGCAAUCCCCUUAGAACCGGGCUCCGUGUCGUCUUCACCCUUCACUAAUUAGCAACUUGAGCACAUUGCAGACAAACCUUUCCUCUUUGCCUUUGGGGUUAGAAGAUGGGAAAACGCGUCUGCUUCUUCUAUACUUUUGGGCUGUAACGCAGCAGCAUUUAGCAACUGUAAUGAAGUUAAUAAAGUUUAACAGAAGGAUAACAUCAAGGUUUUAGACAAUUAUCCUAGAUCCAAACCUUCCAAUUGCCUGAACCAUAAAGGACUUUAACAUCUUUGGCUCCCGGUUUGAGUGCGCUAGGCUCAAAGAUUGGCGAAGAACGUUUGGCACGGUUAAAUUGAAAACCAGCAUUAAAUGGUGACAGUCCAUUUUGUAUCCUUCCAUUUUUUUUUGUUUGGAUCCAUUUUGGUUCUCUUUUGCAUGGGCGCAAUCUGUAGCAAUAGAUGCUGAUGCAGAUCAGCAGAUGGAUGCUUCCAGUUCCAUAUGGGAUGAAUUGUGAUCAAAGUAUUAAUCUAUCCUUAUGGCUUUGUUUCAUGUUUACCUGCUUGGCAAUGAGAAAAGCCAUGCACGGCUUUCUUUAUUUGUUGAGAGACUGAUCACAUCAAAACCAAGAGAUUCAUCACCUCAAACCGCGCAUGAUUUUUAAUUUAUCAAGUCAGUCAAGAAUUGUGUGGUAGCUUUGUGGGCUGGGAAAGUGGGAAUGCGCCAGAAUUUGCAGAUUGGUUGUGGUCCUGUGGAGUGGACCUGCGCGCAUUGCUAGCUUUGAGUGAUUGGAAAAGUCGGGCGAAUGGAUAAAUAUUGAAUACAUGCAUGCAUGAUAUAAAGUCAUUAGCAACCAAUGUCAAAUAGUCAUUGCAGAAGACUUGUGGGUUCCUCUUUGAUGUCUUGGACCAUUUCGAUAUGUGUUCUUUGAACAUAAUUGUGUGCUUAUCAUUAAUGGCAUGAUGGUAUAAUCUUUCUUUCCUGUCUCUUUUUGUUAUGCGCGCAAGAAUGAUCAACAUCGACAAGUUUGCUUGCGGUUGGUUGUUAGAUGCACGAUUUUGAUUUACUUAUUUGUUUUUGGUAAAUAAAAGUUUGAUUUUAAAGGAGAGGAACAUAGUUCAGGCUAAGGCUCUGUUUGGUAUGAUAUAAAGUAUUUUCCUUAAGAAAAUAUUUUCCAUGGAAGUUCUUUUCUGGGAAAAUAUUCACAUUUUUCAAUGUUUUCUGAUGUUUGGUUGAAAUUUUUAACUACAUUUUUAUUAUCAAAAUUCAACUCCUUCCGCCACUCGCUUUUCUCUUCCACUGCUGGAAACCGAUCUUCCUAAUUCCUACCACUAAAAAUAGCAGAACCGCUCAAAAUGGAAUAAUCCAAGUCAGGCAUAAGGACAAUUCGUUGACUCAUAACUAUUGGCGCCAUAAAAGACAUUACCAAGCUAGACAUAUCAAGACCAUGAAAUGGCUGGUGAUUAAGGUCAAUCAAUGAAAGUGAAAGAACAGGCAUAAAUAUCUUCUCAAGUUGAAGAAAUAGGCUCUGUUCUUUUUCAUAUGAUUAGUGCUCUUAUUGACUCGUAUAUGAAAUUUGGUUUAAAGAUCAUAUACUAGCGCUCAAACCACAACCUCAAAGGCAUUAAAAUCCAGGCAAAUUUGAGCUAAAGAUACAUAAUUUUGAUUAAGAAAACAGUGUAAAGAAAAUUAAAAUGACUGAAGAAAGACAGUGGGAAUUGAUAAUAAUCCAAAUUGUUAACAAAUUCGUAGUGUUUGCGUCACCAGUAAAUUCAUCAGCAUCAAAAGCACAAUGUCAAAGAGAUCAGAGUGAGUAGGGUGAGGCCUUUUUUUUUUUUUGAAUAUGCUACAAGCUUUGAAAGUUUGACAAAUACCUUUAAUAGGCGGCCACAUGCGUUUAUAAAAACAAUUUCGAUAAGUCCGGAAGGGAAGUUAUUUUUCACAAGAUGAACAAAAAUCUUUUACACAGUAAAAUAUUUUCAUUAACUUUUGUGCAACCAAAUAAGGGAAAUUAGGAAAAUAUUUUCCUGAAAAAGAUUUCACUUGAAACAAAUGGACCCGAAAUGAUACUCAUAUACAAUAUUUGUUUAAGACCUGUCUGAAUGAAUCAAUGGGUAUGAAAAGCCGAAUCUGAGGGUUUCAUCAUUAGCUAUUUUGCUAGUUAUUCAACUUGAUUAUCCCUUUGUCCUAAUUUUUUUUAUGAAACAAAAUCAAAACAGAAGCAAAAAAAAUUAGUAAAUAAAUUAAAGGGACACGUAUCUCUCUCACCACCUUCUGUUCCCCUUCCCUCUGUCCCCUCAAAAUCGCCUCAAAGCUAUGUACCUAGUUCGUAUCUAUAUCGCUUUAAAUGGAUUUGUGGCCACACAAGUUUCAUUUCAUUCCAUUUCAGAAUAAAAUAAUCUUUUUUAACUUUUGUUGUAGUACCAUAUUUUAAUGCAAUCGGAUCAUAUCUAAUCUUUAAUUAUAUUAUCUUUCCAGCUAAAGGAUAAACUUGCGAGAAAUAGAAUUUGUGAGAGGACUCGUCGUUUAAUUAAAUUUGGCAAGACCAACUUGUGCAGUGAUAUUUGGGAGGAUGAUCCAAGAAAGAGAAUAUAUUAUUAAAGAUAUUCCAAUGAAAGAUACGUUAGGAGAGGCAAGUGUUACCUUUACACAAAAUGAAGUCCCAGAUUUUAAAAAAUUGCUCAGCAAAAACGAACUAAAAUAUUCAUAAACAUGCAAAGAUAAUGUAAGUUUGCAGAAAAUUAUUAUAGGAAAAGAUGCUUUUUUGUCAGCUUUAAUUGAGGAAAAUAAGAAUAUCAUAAGUAGGAAGAGCUACAAUGCUCGAUUCUAUUAUACAAGCAUUGUUGAUCUAGAAAAUGUUGGAUAAGACAUAAAAGAAGGCAUGGGUGCAUUCCGGCUCAAUCUAUCAAAAGGGCCCUCACAGAACAAGGAAAGAAAAAGCAAAAUACCAAUCUGGGCAGCUUGGAUUUAUUGCAAACAGGAUACAAGUCUUACGAUCAAACCAGAAGAGCCAUAAUCAAUACAAUAUUGCAGAAGCUCAACACGAAGCUUCUUUAUUCGGUGCAUAAAACUCUCAAAUCAUACUUGAUGCUAUGCUCACAAUUACCCAAACCAAGUUUUAACUUUUAAUAGUUUUAUUUUUUUUUUCUCUCAAGUUAAAGGAUUUCCACAAAAUCAAUAUUUGACAUACGCACUGGUGGUGUUGACAUCUUUGGCGAGAGUCAAAAGCAGUGGCAUAAGCAAGCACUUCGAAGUGUCUUGCUUGUAGACAAAUCCCUUGCAAUUGCAAUCAUUGGUGCACUUGUCUCUGCAUGCUCCAAAUUCCAUUUCCACUUCUUGACUAUCAGAAGACCACUGGUGGUUCAAGAAGGAUUGCACCCCAUCAAGCUUGAAAUAUUUUGCCUUUGGUUUCUUCCCACACGAGCCCAACUUUGGUGGUUGACAAUUUUCUGUCCAUGCCAAGAGCCCUUUUGGUGUAGGACAUGCCACACACAUCCCAUUUUGGCACAAUCCAAAAUUACCACAUUUUGUCGGCAAAGCACAUGCUGUUGCAAGAUCACUUGGAAAGAAAGUAUAGGUCUGCAUCCAUCUAUCAAAUCUGACUUUGUCAUAGUAAGUAUAAGCCUUGACAUUGCCGUCAGUUUCAAGCCUCAGAAAAGAGUACGUUGCAUUGUAAUUUAGUUUACUGAGUUGUUGAAUCCCGUCAACCUGUGGUUUUGGUGCUGGCGAUUCGAAUAUUUCAAAGAUAAGGUUCCAAGCUAUUGGAGUAGGCUCCCACGUCGAAGGUUGGGUGUUAAACCUUACAGUACUUCCAAAAUUCCCCGGCCAACCAUUGUAGCGAACUUGUUGGCCAGCGUUGUUUAGAUACAAGAGGAGGCCAUCAUCUCCAAGCACUAAGCUGUACUUUCGAUCGGAGCCAUCAACAUCAGAAGUUCGACUGACAAGCUUGUUUACGCCACUCUCGCGAAGGGACUGCCCAACUAGUAACGAAUCAACUGGAUAAUCAAAGCUUUGCCAAAUGAACUUUCCCUUUGUAUCAUACAGCACAAGGUUGCCAUUCUGGAGUAAUUUGAUGCCCGUGACACCCUUGUUAGCCGUGUUGGUUUGCCACACUAGGCCGCCGUCAGAGUCGGCUAGGACCAAGUUUCCAUCCCGGCCGAAAGAAAGGGUGGCGUUUUCUUUCACGGGGUGGUUGCGGUUGGCAUCCCAAACCCACCGCAUUAGGCCCUCGUCAUCUGGGAUGCCAACACGAAUGCCUAGUACGA
rnacentral:lncRNA from 1 species